UACGUAGGGUGCGAGCGUUAAUCGGAAUUACUGGGCGUAAAGCGUGCGCAGGCGGUUUUGUAAGCCAGAUGUGAAAGCCCCGGGCUCAACCUGGGAAUGGCAUUUGGGACUGCAAGGCUGGAGUUUGGCAGAGGAGACUGGAAUUCCUGGUGUAGCAGUGAAAUGCGUAGAUAUCAGGAGGAAUACCGAUGGCGAAGGCAGGUCUCUGGGCUAUAACUGACGCUCAUGCACGAAAGCGUGGGGAGCAAACAAGG
rnacentral:rRNA from 1 species